AUGUAGUGGGAUACGCCUAUAAUCCCAGCACUAGGGAGGCUGAGGUAGGAGGACCUUGAGUUGUAGACCAGUCUGGGCUUACACAGUAAGACCCUAACUCAAAUAAAACAACCUAAAAGAAGAAUGAGAAAUCUAUUAAUUGGCCCAUAUUUGGGACAAAGGAAAAAGAAGUCACUGGUCAACCUGGGGUGCUGGGCCUCUUUUCCUACAGUGACCAGGAACCAGGUCCAGACUUGUAGAUGAUCAGUUGCAGUCUGGUAGCACACCCCUCCUGCAUGUAGCUCUGUGGCCCUUUCCCUCACAUCCUAACGAGCUAGAUCCUGAACUGGGACUUGUGGUGCUGUCAGGAUGAGAACAUGGAAGUUUUGAACCUAGUGUCUUUUGGAAUUCGUAAAGCUAAAUAAAUGAUGUUGAACUUGAAACCCUCCAUAUGUAGAUCAGUUUCAAAGUGAUAAUAGUGAUUGCCACGGCCAGUAAGUACCCUGACCUGUCCCUGUGCAGACUCCCUUGCAGGGUUUUACUAUGUUGAUCUAAGGUCUCCUUGAUUUCAUUUGUCCUAAGCUAAGAACUGGUGAGUCUCAGGAUCAGUCUGACUGUUCUUGUCCAAAUAUAAAUAUUAAAUAGAGAAACACACACACUCCCCUAACUCCUAUACUGGCAGGCAGUGUAGAUGGUGCUGUGCUGUGUUGCCCAGAGAGUGCUGGAAUCUGUGCAUGCAAGCUCAUCCUGUGCAGUGGAGACCACUUCUGACCUACAGAAAGUAGUCGGGAGAGACCCUGGGGGACCCGUCUACCAAGGCUGCUGGAGUGUAGGUUUCUGUUUGUGCCCAGUGAUGUCUUUCCUUGUCUUCCUUUUGACUGUAUUUUAAGAUUACUUUAGAUGAUUCUGUGCAAUGUUUAUGACCUUUCCUACCCUUCUAAUGUUCAGUUAACACAGCCAGUACCCAAUGGGGAAAAACCAGGCUGGGUGAUGGUGGCAGAUGCCUUAUGUCCCAGCACUUGGGAAGCAGAGGCAGGCGGCUCACGGAGCCUGUUCUACAGAACUAGUUCCAGGACAGCCAGGACUACACACAAAGAAAUCCUGUCUUAAGAAGAAAAAAAAAACAAAGCAAAACAAAACAAAACAAAAGAAAAAAGCCAGUGCUUACUGUGGUUAGGCAACUUUUUCCCAAGUUACUUGCUGGAUUUGUUCCUGAAUCAUAAAGCCAGUCUCUUCAGAUGUCAAGAUUUAAUAUCAGUCAGUACCCGUUGUCCUGCUGAUCCAUGGUGUCUGUUACAGGUGAGCCUUGUUAAAGGAGGUGCCAGUGCUGCAGCUGGUAGACUCCAGAGAGAGUGACAUAAUCAUUCAAGCUGCCCCUGAGGGUGUGGGUGCUGUAGUACAGAGAACCUGUGGGCCGUGAGCAUCCUACUUUGGCUUUCAGUGCACCUUUUAUUGAGGAACAGUUGUGAACAGUGUAAACCGUGACUGAUCUUAUUCUUUUUCCAGUAUUUUGAGCUGUGAACCCAUGUGUCCCAGCACUGGCUUGUUCCUUUUUAGUUUGAUUGAAUUAUCCUCCUAUGGAAGUGGCAAAAUCUAUGUCUUUACUGUCCUUACAAGCACAGUGUGUGUUACCACAUACUGUGAGUGUGGGUUGUGGUGUGUGUCAGUGUGUGUACAUAUGUGUAUAUGUAUAUAUCACACAGCAGGCCUGUCAUGCCUCUGUUUGGUGGCAAAGCAACAAGUACAAUAAAAGUCAGCUCC
rnacentral:lncRNA from 1 species